GGGCGAGUGGCGGAAUCGGUAGACGCAGCUGGCUUAAACCCGGCAGGGCUUCGGCCCGUGGGGGUUCGACUCCCCCCUCGCCCA
rnacentral:tRNA from 1 species